CCUACGGGCGGCUGCAGUGGGGAAUAUUGGGCAGUGGGCGCAAGCCUGACCCAGCAACGCCGCGUGAAGGAAGAAGGCUUUCGGGUUGUAAACUUCUUUUAAGAGGGAAGAGCAGAAGACGGUACCUCUUGAAUAAGCCACGGCUAACAACGUGCCAGCAGCCGGGGUAACACAUAGGUGGCAAGCGUUGUCCGGAUUUACUGGGGGUAAAGGGCGUGUAGCCGGGCUGACAAGGCAGAUGUGAAAUUCCUGGGCUCAAUCCCGGACCUGCCUUUGAAACUGUUGGUCUUGAGUUUCGGAGAGGCAGGCGGAAUUCCUAGUGUAGCGGUGAAAUGCGUAGAUAUUAGGAAGAACACCAGAGGCGAAGGCGGCCUGCUGGGCGACAACUGACGGUGAGGCGCGAAAGCGUGGGGAGCAAACAGGAUUAGAUACCCUGGUAGUC
rnacentral:rRNA from 1 species